rnacentral:rRNA from 1 species
CACUCCUGCGGGAGGCAGCAGUGGGGAAUUUUGGACAAUGGGCGAAAGCCUGAUCCAGCAAUGCCGCGUGUGUGAAGAAGGCCUUCGGGUUGUAAAGCACUUUUGUCCGGAAAGAAAUCCUUGGCUCUAAUACAGUCGGGGGAUGACGGUACCGGAAGAAUAAGCACCGGCUAACUACGUGCCAGCAGCCGCGGUAAUACGUAGGGUGCGAGCGUUAAUCGGAAUUACUGGGCGUAAAGCGUGCGCAGGCGGUUUGCUAAGACCGAUGUGAAAUCCCCGGGCUCAACCUGGGAACUGCAUUGGUGACUGGCAGGCUAGAGUAUGGCAGAGGGGGGUAGAAUUCCACGUGUAGCAGUGAAAUGCGUAGAGAUGUGGAGGAAUACCGAUGGCGAAGGCAGCCCCCUGGGCCAAUACUGACGCUCAUGCUCGAAAGCGUGGGGAGCAAACAGGAUUAGAAACCCGAGUAGUCCC